GAUGAACGCUGGCGGCGUGCCUAAUACAUGCAAGUCGAGCGAACAGACGAGGAGCUUGCUCCUCUGACGUUAGCGGCGGACGGGUGAGUAACACGUGGAUAACCUACCUAUAAGACUGGGAUAACUUCGGGAAACCGGAGCUAAUACCGGAUAAUAUAUUGAACCGCAUGGUUCAAUAGUGAAAGACGGUUUUGCUGUCACUUAUAGAUGGAUCCGCGCCGCAUUAGCUAGUUGGUAAGGUAACGGCUUACCAAGGCGACGAUGCGUAGCCGACCUGAGAGGGUGAUCGGCCACACUGGAAAUGAGACACGGUCCAGACUCCUACAGGAGGCAGCAGUAGGGAAUCUUCCGCAAUGGGCGAAAGCCUGACGGAGCAACGCCGCGUGAGUGAUGAAGGUCUUCGGAUCGUAAAACUCUGUUAUUAGGGAAGAACAAAUGUGUAAGUAACUAUGCACGUCUUGACGGUACCUAAUCAGAAAGCCACGGCUAACUACGUG
rnacentral:rRNA from 1 species